rnacentral:rRNA from 1 species
AUUGAACGCUGGCGGCAGGCCUAACACAUGCAAGUCGAACGAGUGGCGGACGGGUGAGUAAUGUCUGGGAAACUGCCUGAUGGAGGGGGAUAACUACUGGAAACGGUAGCUAAUACCGCAUACCAUCGGAUGUGCCCCGAUGGGAUUAGCUCGUAGGUGGGGUAAAGGCUCACCUAGGCGACGAUCCCUAGCUGGGCUGAGAGGAUGACCAGCCACACUGGAGCUGCGACACGGUCCAGACUCCUACGGGAUGCAGCAGUGGGGAAUAUUGCACAAUGGGCGCAAGCCUGAUGCAGCCAUGCCGCGUGUAUGAAGAAGGCCUUCGGGUUGUAAAGUACUUUCAGCGGGGAGGCGUUAACCGAAGAAGAAGCACCGGCUAACUCCGUGCCAGCAGGCGCGGUAAUAG